AAAACUUUCAACAACGGAUCUCUUGGUUCUGGCAUCGAUGAAGAACGCAGCGAAAUGCGAUAAGUAAUGUGAAUUGCAGAAUUCAGUGAAUCAUCGAAUCUUUGAACGCACAUUGCACCCGGUGGUAUUCCGCCGGGUAUGCUUGUUCGAGCGUCAUUAUAACCACUCAAGCCUGUCUUGGUGUUGGGGAUUGCGAAUUUUGCAGCCCUAGAGUCCAGUAGCGUCACCUG
rnacentral:rRNA from 1 species